UGAACGCGUAGCGGCAGGCUUAACACGAUGCAAGGUCAGGGGCAUCGGGAGUAGCAAUACUUGCCGGCGACCGGCGCAAGGGUGCGUAACGCGUGAGCAACAUGCCCGUAUCAGGGGGAUAAUCCAUGGAAACGUGGUCUAAUACCCCAUAGUAAUUAUGUAAGGCAUCUUAUAUAAUUUAAAGCUUUGGUGGAUACGGAUUGGCUCGCGUGACAUUAGCUAGGAUGGUAAGGUAACGGCUUACCAUGGCUACGAUGUCUAGGGGUUCUGAGAGGAAGGUCCCCCACACUGGAACUGAGACACGGUCCAGACUCCUACGGGAGGCAGCAGUGAGGAAUAUUGGACAAUGGAUGGAAAUCUGAUCCAGCCAUGCCGCGUGCAGGAAGACGGCCCUAUGGGUUGUAAACUGCUUUUGUAUGGGAGCAAUAAGGGCUACGCGUAGUCCGAUGAGAGUACCAUACGAAUAAGCACCGGCUAACUCCGUGCCAGCCGCGGC
rnacentral:rRNA from 1 species